GGAGGUUGGCUUAGAAGCAGCCAUCCUUGAAAGAGUGCGUAAUAGCUCACUGGUCGAGUGGUCGUGCGCCGACAAUUCAGCGGGGCUCAAGCGCGCCGCCGAAGCCGCGGACCCGCACACCCCGUGUGCGGGUGGUAGGGGAGCGUCCUGCGCGGGGCGAAGCCCGGGGGUGACCCGUGGGUGGACCGCGCGGGAGUGAGAAUGCAGGCAUGAGUAGCGAGACCGGGGUGAGAGUCCCCGGCGCCGAGAGACCAAGGGUUCCAGGGGCAGGUUCGUCCUCCCUGGGUGAGUCGGGACCUAAGGCGAGGCCGACAGGCGUAGUCGAUGGAUGACGGGUUGAUAUUCCCGUACCGGUCAGGCACCGACCAUGCUGACGCGCGGGUGCUGACCCACGCCGCCGCUGCCGCUGUUGCGCCCACCCCCUCAUUGCGGGGGGCGGGCCGCGGCCGGUGGUCUGGGGACCCUCCGCGCUGGUAGGCAAGCGUGUUAACAGGGGUGACGCACAGUGGUAGCCCGGCGGGCCUGAUGGCUUGGCCCGUUCAAGCGCGCAGCCCGGUCCCCAGGCAAAUCCGGGGACCAGCCCCCCCCACCCGGGGGGCGCGGGUGAGGCGUGAUGGUGACCCCGCCCACGCGGCGGGGGAUAACAGGGUGAUCCUGGGGUGCCGAGAAAAGCCUCGACGCGAUGGUGGCGGCCGCCCGUACCCCACACCGACACAGGUGGUCCGGCAGAGUAUGCCUAGGCGAGCGAGUGAACCGUGGUGAAGGAACUCGGCAAAUUGCCCCCGUAACUUCGGGAGAAGGGGGGCCCGGGCCCUGAAGCAGCAGGCCUGCUAGGGGCGAGGGCCGCAGAGAGCAGGGGGGAGCGACUGUUUACUAAAAACACAGGUCCGUGCGAAGCCGCAAGGCGAUGUAUACGGACUGACGCCUGCCCGGUGCUGGAAGGUUAAGAGGAUCCCUCAGCCCCCCGCGCGGGGGUGAAGGGGUGAGUUCAAGCCCCAGUAAACGGCGGUGGUAACUAUAACCAUCCUAAGGUAGCGAAAUUCCUUGUCGGGUAAGUUCCGACCUGCACGAAUGGCGUAACGACUUCCCCGCUGUCUCCACCACGGGCUCGGCGAAAUUGCACUACGAGUAAAGAUGCUCGUUACGCGCAGAAGGACGGAAAGACCCCGGGACCUUUACUACAACUUGGUAUUGGCGUCCGCCACGGCUUGUGCAGGAUAGGUGGGAGACCACGACCCCGAUCGCGCCAGCGACGGGCGAGUCACUGUUGAGAUACCACUCUGGCCGCGGCGUGCGCCUGAACCUCGGCCCGUGACCCGGGCCAGGGACAGUGCCUGGCGGGUAGUUUAACUGGGGCGGUUGCCUCCCAAAAAGUAACGGAGGCGCUCAAAGGUCCCCUCAGCCUGGUCGGCAACCAGGUGGCGAGUGCAAGUGCACAAGGGGGCUUGACUGCGAGACCGACACGUCGAGCAGGCACGAAAGUGGGAACUAGUGAUCCGGCGAUCCCGCGUGGACGGAUCGUCGCUCAACGGAUAAAAGGUACCCCGGGGAUAACAGGCUGAUCCUGCCCAAGAGUCCAUAUCGACGGCAUGGUUUGGCACCUCGAUGUCGGCUCGUCGCAUCCUGGGGCUGGAGCAGGUCCCAAGGGUUGGGCUGUUCGCCCAUUAAAGCGGUACGCGAGCUGGGUUUAGAACGUCGUGAGACAGUUCGGUCCCUAUCCUCUGCGCGCGCAGGAGACUUGAGAAGACCUGUCCCCAGUACGAGAGGACCGGGACGGACGGACCUCUAGUGCGCCAGCUGUACCGCCAGGUGCACCACUGGUUAGCCACGUCCGGACAAGGAUAACCGCUGAAAGCAUCUAAGCGGGAAACCACCUUCAAGACCAGGUCUCCACACACCACUACGGUGCGGAAGGCCCCCAGCAGACCACUGGGUCGAUAGGCCAGACGUGCACACCCGGCAACGGGCGCAGCUGACUGGUACUAACAGGCCGACACAAACACACC
rnacentral:rRNA from 1 species